AUAUGAGAUUAAGAGAUCUUUAGAGUGAUUAGAAUAAAGAGAGUGUUUAGGAAGUGAUUAAGAGAAGUUUGUGAAAGAUUAAGAGACUAGAAAGAGCCGUUUAGAGUCUAAGAGAAAACCAUAGUCUAAGAGAUUAGAGAGACUCGAACUGAUUGAUCUUAUUAAUGAGUGAGGUUACAUAUUUAUAUAGAAAGCAUUAGGGUUUACAAGAGGUGAAAUGGGCACUAUUUGUUGAAAUGAAGAAGGGAAUGACCAGAAGAAGAAUCUGGUUCAUGAUCCAAGUUUGAUAUUGUAGAGGAAGUAAUCCGGAUACUUCAAGAUGAGACUAGUUCAUACAGACUUGUGAACCAAGUUAUGGUUAGAGUGGAGAAGGAAGAAGCAUGGCUGUGUGUGAUCCAUUGAUCUUAGAAAUAAAGAAGACAAAGAGAAGAAGAGAUACUUGAAAAGAUUCAGGUCUGGAAAACCUUGCUACACAAGGCAGUCCGUACAGUCUUGGCUACCAAGUUACCUAGAGUGACUUGGAUGGUAAGGCAGGUGAGGAACUCGUCCAGCUUGAUCUUCUGAAGCAGAUUUGAAGUUAAAAUGGAGCAUCAGACCGUUGGAGAGAGCUGAGACAAGUUGGGAAUUAAAUAGAGUAAAAGUCACAUGUGCAUAAGAGGAUGAACCUGUUGUCACUUUCACCCAACCAGGCUGUGCCCAUAUCUCUCUCCUGUCACUCUCUACUCCCUCUGGUCGAGAUUCACCUUGGCUGUACCUUCCUGGCUUCAUCAGAAAACCCUACAAUAUUAUUUGUUUAGUAAAACCCUGUUUUAGUAUUUGUUUAAUAUGUGUGCUUGUCUAUUUAAGACAAUGCUGUAUCUGAUUGUAAACUAAGGAGAGUAAAACUCUUUCUUCACAUACUCUGGUUACUAAACUCUCAGAUUCUCCUAUUCUCUCUAUUCUCUUGUCUCUCACGACCUCCAUUACUCCCUUAUACUCUAGCAUACUCAGAAACUCUCCCAAACACUUUAUACUCUCUUCACUCUCUCAUUACUUUCAAUUGCUCAUCAAUCACUCUCUCUGGUUUCAUACUGAACCAGAAGCUUAUUCCCAUCAUAUUCCUUUUAGUUCAUCUCAAUUCUUUCAUGGUAUCAGAGCCUCAAGCUCUUGAGAACCUAUAUUGCUUCCGCAAAUCAUCCCUGUCCAAAAUCUCUCUUUAAAAAUCUGUUCAAACAUGUUCGUUACAUCCUUUUAUCCUCUGGUCCAAAGGUUUUCCAGGAGGGAAAAACCUCACCAGAACUCAAGAUAAAGGAGUAUCUCAGUCUCUGGAACUCAAGAAAGUCUUAGCUCAGUUCAGCAAGCUUCAUCAAAGUCCAGUCUUUCAAAUCCUGUCCCUUUCAAACCAGUAGGAACAUCCUAUUAUCCACUGGUCCAAAAAAAAAAAAACUUCAAGAUGAUGAAUAUUCAAGCAUGGGCGAGUUCAGUGAAGCUCAAAACUCCAAACUACUCUUUCUGGGUCAGAAUGAUGAAGAAAAACCCUAGAGGCAAAGGUGUUUGGAGCCAUACUUCAGAUGAAGCUCCAUGGAAAAUCUGCAAGGUCUUUGCUCAUGUUAAUGAGAGGCAACCAGAAGCUCAGUCUCUGUCCAACAAAUCCUACUUCAAGUUGGAAGAGAAGAAAGGUCAGAAGAGUCAGCACUGCAAGGAAGGACUCACUAAGGAUAGGUGGUGGAUAUUCAAUCCACAUCUGAAACAAAUGUACUUUCAAUAAGCCCCCAUGGGCUGGAGAGUCAAGAAACCAGCUCAGGUUUCUUGAGAUUGUGGUGACAGGUUAUUAAAUGUUAUGUGAUGACCUUUACACAUCAAGCACAAGCUCAAAGCUCACACCCUCUUGAAGACUGCUCAAACCGACUUUCUCAAAUUUACUUCAAUAUGGAGUCAACAAAAGCCACAGUCAUUCUCAGGGUUCAUAUCUGAUCCCCUGGUCGUGUAUGAACCAAGAAGACCAGGAGGACAGGAGGGGAUCCAAGGGUGAGCUUUACAAACAGGGCGAAACACACAAGGAAAAGGAGUUGGGUAAUGAAUCCAAAACUCAAAUCCACCAAGCUCAGAUGAGUAGUGUGUAUAUGGAGGUUCAAGGACCCAGCCCAGGUUCCUUGGCUGUAAGUUAAACCUCCUAAACCUGAACAAUAGCUUGUGUAAUGUGUCUGGUCGGUUUUUUUUUUGAGUGAUGGUGUAGAGUCCAAUGGAUCAUGAUAAGUUGCUAGAAGUUGCAUUGUGUCUUAAUCUUAUCAUCUGUGGUUGUUUUUGUUCCUAGAAGUGUCUGCCUAGGUUGUCAUGCAUCCAUGAUAUAUUGAUAUUGAUUGGGAGUCCUUUAAUUGUCAUGUCUGCCUUGAGAUUGUUAAGUAUCUAGGAGUGUUCCUAGAUGUGUGGUGUAUUCAUGCUGUUGUUGAAAUUGAUUAGGUUAUUAGCCUAGUCUUCUUUAGCAUCUGGAUUGUCUUAAAAAUGCAUAUUGGAUUGUAUUAAAGAGGCAUACAUAUUGUUCCUGAUGCAUUCAUAUUGUUUCUAAAGCUGUCAUAGGAGGUGAUAAGCUGUUUUGCAAUCUAUUUUUAAGCAGUGGCGACCAGUCUUGAGUUUAUUCAAUGAUCUGGUCCCAUGCUGAUGUUACUGAUCCCUAUCUGAGUUGUAAUGGUGUGUAGGACACAGGAUGUGACUAUUAGACCAGAAGCAGCAACAGGAAAAGGGAUAUAACCAUGUUAAUCAGAGCCUGCACAAGAUGCAUAUUCCUGAACAUGGAGAAAAGAGACCAUGUUGUUCAGAGCCUACACUUGGUGUAUAUUACUGACCAUGGAGAGACAUCUUAUGAGUGGAAUCAGUUGGCUUAAGCGCAGGCGUAGGAGCUGUUGUGCUCCUGGUUCAAGAGACUCACAAGGAAGGCCAUCACCUAAGUCAUGAGGAGACUGGUGGUCCAAAGACAUUGGAGCUGAAGGCAAAUGGUGAUCCAGUUGGCUUAAGCGCAGAUGUUGGUAUUGUUGUGCUCCUGGAAGAUGGUGAACUGGUUGGCUUAAGCGCAGAUGUUGGUAUUGUUGUGCUCCCAGUUCAAAACUCAUUGAAGCUCACGUUCAAGCUUGUCACUAUACUCAGUCAAGCUUGAGGAGGGGAAUAUCAGUGAGCUACCAAAAGAUCCAUGAAGCUUACUGUAUCCAGUGUCCCAUUUCCUCAUAGAAGACCAGCAAGAGGUUGGCGAAUUAAAAGAGGACUUAAGUGAUCAGUCUGAAGAAGCUGUCACUCCUCACUGUUCUUACCAGCCAGAUGCAAGGAUUAUUCAAUCAGGGACAUUCUUGGCUAAGCAAUCACAUGAUGGUGGCAAAUUAUGGAGUUGCAAAGUCCCCCUACAUGUUGAAACUUCAAGAGAACAAUGCAAAGGCUGGGUGAGAGAAGGAAUGGCAUGGAGGAUUCAAGUGCUCUGCACUCCUCAUCAACAUUCCAGAAACUAAUGCAAGGGAAGUACCUAAAACCAUCCUUAUUCUUAUGUGAGAAUAGGUUUUCCCCUUGAGAAUUGAUACAUGCAUUCUUUGUAUGAUUGAAUCAGGUACCUAUUGAGCUCAUGAACAAAGACAAGCUUUGUCUCAACCCCUAAAUAGAGGCAAGAAGCCAGAAGAAAGGGGGAGACAAGCUCAGGUCAUAAGAAGAAGCUCAAAGGUGAUUUGAUGGUGAAGGAAUUGGCGCCAAUCCAAGUUUGCAAGUAGUGGAUUCACUCUUGCAUCACUCAGUACCAACCGUGUAAUUGAAGUUCCAUAAUCCGGACUGUGCCUUACCAAGUGGGGAUUCAAUUGGAGUCCACUCCUCACCAUUCUUAUAAAAGGGAAGCACCUUAAACUCAUCUCAAUACAUUCAUGAUUGUCCUUAUACUUAAAAUAUUAUUGAGGUUGAUAUGAUGAGUGCAUUUCCUUAAGAACUGAUGCACUUUUGAAAUGAUGUAUCAGGUACCAAAAUAAGCUUGAGCCUCACUGAAGAUGAUGAUGAUGAUCCGGUCAUGUCCUAGCCUUCCUAAGGUGGCUUGAAGCCAGUUGAGAGAGGGAGACCCUAAACCGGCCACAAAAUGAUCCAGCCGGCUACUUGUGCUCAAGGAUAGCAAGUUAUGGUGAUUCAUACUUGCUAUACCUAUUAGGCCACGAUCCAGAGCCUAAGGACUCCACCAUGAUGAAUCUGAAGUUCCUUAGGCUCACUGGCCAAUCCCUAAGCUUUGUAGAAACUCCACUCUUUUUCCCUUAGCAAGUUUUGUCCCAAUGGGUUUUCUUGCUAAGGUUUUUAAUGAGAGAGCUUCUUCAAGGUUCCAAGCUUGUCCAAGGAUCUCCUAUGGUCAAGCUUGAGGGGGAGUGUUGAAAUGAAGAAGGGAAUGACCAGAAGAAGAAUCUGGUUCAUGAUCCAAGUUUGAUAUUGUAGAGGAAGUAAUCCGGAUACUUCAAGAUGAGACUAGUUCAUACAGACUUGUGAACCAAGUUAUGGUUAGAGUGGAGAAGGAAGAAGCAUGGCUGUGUGUGAUCCAUUGAUCUUAGAAAUAAAGAAGACAAAGAGAAGAAGAGAUACUUGAAAAGAUUCAGGUUUGGAAAACCUUGCUACACAAGGCAGUCCGUACAGUCUUGGCUACCAAGUUACCUAGAGUGACUUGGAUGGUAAGGCAGGUGAGGAACUCGUCCAGCUUGAUCUUCUGAAGCAGAUUUGAAGUUAAAAUGGAGCAUCAGACCGUUGGAGAGAGCUGAGACAAGUUGGGAAUUAAAUAGAGUAAAAGUCACAUGUGCAUAAGAGGAUGAACCUGUUGUCACUUUCACCCAACCAGGCUGUGCCCAUAUCUCUCUCCUGUCACUCUCUACUCCCUCUGGUCGAGAUUCACCUUGGCUGUACCUUCCUGGCUUCAUCAGAAAACCCUACAAUAUUAUUUGUUUAGUAAAACCCUGUUUUAGUAUUUGUUUAAUAUGUGUGCUUGUCUAUUUAAGACAAUGCUGUAUCUGAUUGUAAACUAAGGAGAGUAAAACUCUUUCUUCACAUACUCUGGUUACUAAACUCUCAGAUUCUCCUAUUCUCUC